GGUGAAUUGGACGGCAGGACGCCGGAAGAAAGGAAGUGGGUCAGACAUAAUUUUUUGACCACUUUGUACGUUUUUGUUUGUAGAAUCCCUUUUUUCGAACGAGUUUCGUUUGGUAUAAUUUGUAUCUUAAUUUUAAUAUGUUUUUUGUUGGUCAAUUAUUUACCUGAAUAAAUGAGAAGAAAGAAUAAGCGUUUCAUGGAAUGAAGUGCGUUCAAAACAAAGCCCGCUACCAUGCUUCCGCGGCCAAAACAAAGGCCGAAACAAAAUUUAUUAAACAUUUUUAAACA